UUUGCAGUAUAGUAAUAUUUAAUUGGAUAUAAAAUACUGUUCAUUCACCCCUUAACCAACUCGGUGAAGGUUGUUGUUUAGUGGGAUCUUAGACUUGUUUUACUAUUUCCAGGUGCUCCAUCACAAGAUGCUCAUAUGCCUCCUGCAACUCCACAUAUACCAACUGAACUUCCUAUGCCUGAACAUAAUAUAUGGGAUCUGCCUUCUACAUCAAAGCAAAUAAUCACUGCUGCACCUCCCAAUGCGUGUGUUAUAGCAGCAGAACAUAAUUAUUGCAGUAAACAUGGUAUACAACAAAGACGGAAACUUAAAGGAGACAAAAAAAAACUGAAAUCAACUUCAUCGCUGGAGAAUGAAUUAAAGAUUUCAAGAUUCCAAAUGAAGAAUUUAAAAACCGAAAUUAUUCGGUUACGUAAACGGAGUAGUAGUUUGAAAGAAAGAUUAGCCAGCGUUGAUAAAAUUAGCAAUACAAAUUGUUUAAAAAAAAUAACGAGAAAUAUGACAACUGCAGCAAAAUAUUCACAAACAUGCA